rnacentral:rRNA from 1 species
GAUUUCUGGUUGGACUUGCCUGGCCCGCCACAGUUUUGUGUGUGAGUGCCGGUGUGUGUCUGCCAUCCUUCGCGUUCCGGUCGGUGCCUCUUCAGUGAGGUGCAGGAUACAGGACGCGAUCGUUUACUUUGAAAAAAUUAGAGUGUUUCAAGCAGGCUUGUUGCUAUGAAUACAUUAGCAUGGAAUAAUGAUUUAGGACUUCGGUUCUAUUUUGUUGGUUUCUAGUACUGAAGUAAUGAUUGAUAGGGAUAGUUGGGGGUGCUAGUAUUCAGUGGCCAGAGGUGAAAUUCUCGGAUUCCCUGAAGACUAACUUAUGCGAAAGCAUU